UUUUUUAAUGUCGCUAUCAAAGCAAGAUGAAGGGGAUCAUGUUGUUGCCUCUCUUUUGCCAUGCUGUAUUUCCAGUGAAACACUCCUUGAAGUUUUACCUCACUGCAUCAUCUGGAGUCUCAAACGUUCCAGACUUUGAGGCUGUUGCAGUGUUUAAUGAAGUUGAGGUGGCUUACUAUGACAGCAACAUCAAGACAACAGAACUUAAACAGGACUGGAUGAGUAAAUUAAUCGGGGAAGAUCCUCAACGCUGGGAAAGAAACAGACUCAACUGUAUGGAUUACCACCAAGUCUUCAAAGAAGAAACUGACACUUUCAAGCAUCGCCUCAACCGAACUGGAGGUGUCCAUGUUGUCCAGCAGAUGGCUGGAUGUGAAUGGGAUGAUGAGACUGGAGAGAUUAAUGGUUAUCAACAGUACGGUUAUAAUGGAGAACACUUCAUAUCUUUGGACCUGAAGACUCUGACAUGGAUUGCUCCAAAACCACAAGCAGUCACCACUAAACACGAGUGGGACAAAGAUGAAUCUAGAAAUAAGGACUGGAAAAACUUUGUCACAGAGCGUUGCCCUGAGAAACUCAAGAAGUAUCUGAACUUUUGGAAAAGCUCUCAGCAGAGAACAAAGCUUCCCUCAGUGUCUCUCCUCCAGAAGACUCCCUCCUCUCCAGUCAGCUGCCACGCUACAGGUUUCUACCCUCACAGAGCCAUGAUGUUCUGGAGGAAAGAUGGAGAGGAGCUUCAUGAGGACGUAGAACAUGGAGAGAUCCUCCCCAACCAUGAUGGAUCGUUUCAGAUGAGUGUUGACCUGAACCUUUCAUCAGUCACACCUGAAGACUGGAGGAGGUACGAAUGUGUGUUUCGGCUCUCUGGUGUCAACGAUGACAUCAUCACAAAACUGGGCAAAGCAGUGAUCAGGACCAACUGGGCAGAGAAGCCGCUUGACCUGACCAUCCCCAUCAUCACUGCAGUGGCUGUUUUCAUCAUUGCUGCUUUUGGAGUCACAGUUUACAUAAAGAAGAAAACUCCUGACAACAGCUCUGAAGUCUCCAUGAAACUGAAUCCUGAAGCCUGAAUGAAAUAAACACACCAUCCUGCAUACAGUGAUUUGCUACACAGACGACAAAACAUUUCUCCCUCAGAGUUCCCUACUGGUCCUGUUAUUGGAGGUGUUGUAGGACUGCUGCUGCUCCUGGCAGUCUGCAUCACUGGAGUCUUCAUCUGGAGGAGGAAAAAUAAUGGAUUCAGGCCUGCAAACUCUUCAGACUCGUCAUCGUCUGAUCCAUCUUCAGUCAAAGAUGCAGCUCUUAACUGAUCACAGAGUAACAACAUCUGGAGAGAACUGAUGCUGCUGUCCAGCUGUUUCCUCAAACCUUUGGUGGAGAUGAAUCACUGCAGCAGCUACCAGACACCAAAGAGCCACAACGUUACUCCAGUGGGGCAUCUUUUGUCUUCAGAUAUCAAAUUCAUGUCAGUUAGUCAUGUGAUGUACUGUCUUUGAUGAUGAUGGGAGACAUGCAGCACUUUAACCUCUGCUUCUAACGCUGGAGUCAAACCUAAAUCUUUAAAUGUUCAACUACUCAUGCUUUCACUAACAAUUAGUUUGACAGUUUCAUUACAGAAACUGCACUAGGCCACGAUUGAAAAAACACAGCUUUUGUUUCUCUAUUUGUUUCAUUGUGAUUACAGUUUGAACACUGCAUCCCAACUUCUCCCACUUUUACCAAAGUACAAAUAUCUAAGUUAUGUUUUAGUCUUCCAACACACAUUGCUCCUCCAGUCCAAGUAACAACUGUAACUCUUUUUAAACAUAAACUUGUAAAUGUUUCCACAGUUUUACACAACAUAAAUACAUUUUUGAAUAUUUAGACACUCCUCCUUUCAUUGAAACUCACAUAUUAAAGCAAUAACACUUCUUAGAGCUUAUAUUUGUAUCUUAUACAUUUGUCAUCUUCACGUCCUGUAUUUGUCAUGCAGAUGAUAAAUGUUAAUGUCAUUGUAACAUUAUUGUUAAUGCUCAGAUUAUUGAUGUUAAAGUAUUAAUGAGGGUUUUAUCUGUGGUACUGACUGAUGCACUUUAUUUCAUAUCGUUAAAAUGGAAGAAUUGAUUUGUCUACGUGACAGUAUACGUCUUCUCUAAGGUCAUGUGAUCUGUUUUUGGCUAAAUGUGUUCACUGCAGUUAAAGUUUGUCUUUACAUCAUCUACAAGUUAAAGAUUAAUUAUGAAUUGUUAAUUGAUCAUCUAUUUAUUGGUGAAUGUAAAACAUGAUUUUUUGGUGAACUUCAUUUUGUCUAGAGCAGCUGCAACAUUUUCUAGUGUCAUUUUUGUUCUUAUUUGUUCUAAUAGUGUUUAUAUUUACCUUCCAUUAAAAAUAAA